ACUGCGUUUGUCAAGGCACAGACUUCCUGUUUUGCCUGCUGGCAUCUCCCUGUAACUCUUCCAGUCUUCCAGGAGUGAUCCCUGUCCCAGCCCCUGGAAAGGGGCAGGAACGACAAACUCAAAGUCCAGAGUCCAGCCUGUUAUUGUGAAUGGAACCGAGAUUUGCCCUCUACCCUCACCUAAGCUCUGAUCCUACACUGCCCGCAAUAGGCGGCUCAUCUGUUACCCAUUGUGUAAAUGAUUACAGGAUGUUCACCAUGACAAGAGCCAUGGAAGAGGCUCUUUUUCAGCACUUCAUGCACCAGAAGCUGGGGAUCGCCUAUGCCAUACACAAGCCAUUUCCCUUCUUUGAAAGCCUCCUAGACAACUCCAUCAUCACUAACAGAAUGUACAUGGAAUCUCUGGAAGCCUGUAGAAAUUUGGUCCCUGUAUCCAGAGUCGUGCACAACAUUCUCACCCAACUGGAGAGGACUUUUAACCUGUCUCUUCUGGUGACAUUGUUCAGUCAAAUUAACCUGCGUGAAUAUCCCAAUCUGGUGACGAUUUACAGAAGCUUCAAACGUGUUGGUGCUUCCUAUGAAUGGCAGAGCAGAGACACACCAAUCCUACUUGAAGCCCCAGCUGGCUUAGCAGAAGGAAGCUCCCUCCAUACCCCACUGGCGCUGCCCCCACCACAACCCCCUCCACCAAGCUGUUCACCCUGUGCGCCAAGAGUCAGUGAGCCUGGAACAUCCUCGCAGCAAAGUGAUGAGAUCCUGAGUGAGUCGCCCAGCCCAUCUGACCCUGUCCUGCCUCUCCCUGGACUCAUCCAGGAAGGAAGAAGCACUUCAGUGACCAAUGACAAGUUAACAUCCAAAAUGAAUGAGGAAGAAGACUCAGAAGAGAUGCCGAGCCUCCUCACUAGCACUGUGCAAGAGAUAAGAGAUAAUUCUCCAGAACCAAAUGACGCAGAAGAGCCCCAGGAGGUGUCCAGCACACCUCCAAACAAGAAAGGAAAGAAAAGAAAAAGAUGUAUCUGGUCAACUCCAAAAAAGAGACCUAAGAAAAAAAGCCUCCCAAGAGGGACAGCCUCACCUAGACAUGGAAUCCAAAAGAAGCUCAAAAGGGUGGAUCAGGUUCCUCAAAAGAAAGAUGACUCAACUUGGAACUCCACGGUAGUGACAAGGGCCCAAAAGGCGAGAACUGAAUGUGCCCGAACGUCCAGAUCAGAGGAGAUCAUUGAUGGCACUUCAGAAAUGAAUGAAGGAAAGAGGUCCCAGAAGACGCCUAGCACACCACGAAGGGUCACACAAGAAAAAAGGAGAAAAGAAUAUGGCCAGUCAAGUUCAAAAAGAAAACAGAAAAAAAAACGCCCAAGAGGGGCAACCUCACCUGGGCAUGGCAUCCAAGAGAAGCUCCGAGUGGUGGAUAAGGUGACUCAAAGGAAAGACGACUCAACCUGGAACUCAAAGGUCAUGACGAGAGUCCAAAAGGCAAGAACUGAAUGUGCCCGAAAGUCUGGAUCGAAAGGAAAACCCAAAAGUGACACUGUGGAUUUUCACUGUUCUAAGCUCCCCGUGACCUGUGGUGAGGCGAAAGGGAUUUUAUAUAAGAAGAAAAUGAAACACGGAUCCUUAGUGAAGUGCAUUCAGAAUGAAGAUGGAACUUGGUUAACACCAAAUGAAUUUGAAAUUGAAGGAAAAGGAAGAAACGCAAAGAACUGGAAACGGAAUAUACGUUGUGGAGGAACGACCCUAGGAGAGCUGCUGAAGAAUGGACUUGUGCUCUGUCCUCCAAGAAUAAAUCUCAAGAGAGAGGAAUGGUGGUGUGCACCUGUAGUCCCAGCUAAGGCUGAGCGGAAAAACUCGGAUGAAUGCGAGGUGUGCUGUAAAGGGGGACAACUUCUCUGCUGCGGUACUUGUCCACGAGUCUUCCAUGAGGACUGUCACAUCCCCCCUGUGGAAGCUAAGAGGACGCUGUGGAGUUGCACCUUCUGCAGGAUGAAGAGGUCUUCAGGAAGCCCACAGUGCCAUCAUGUAUCUAAGAUCCUGGAGAGGCAGAUGCAGCCUCAGGACCAGCUGAUUCGAGAUUACGGUGAGCCCUUUCAGGAAGCAAUGUGGUUGGACCUGGUUAAGGAAAGGCUGAUUACGGAAAUGUACACGGUGGCAUGGUUUGUGCGAGACAUGCGCCUGAUCUUUCGCAACCAUAAAACAUUUUACAAGGCUUCUGACUUUGGCCAGGUAGGACUUGACUUAGAGGCAGAAUUUGAAAAAGAUCUCAAAGACAUGCUCGGUUUUCAUGAAGCCAAUGAUGGCGGUUUCUGGACUCUUCCUUGACCCUGUUCUGAAAAGACUGAAGCAUCCCCACUUCAGGAUUCAGCUGAUGGGACCCUGGCUUGGACUGUUGAUUGCCAUAGGUCAUGGAUUGGCUGCUGCUUUGACACCGCCUUGAGAGACUUAAGAUGUCGGCAUGAUUUUUGAAGCUUUUUAUUGGAUAUUUGGUUGAUAUUAUAUUUGAACAUGAAGUCACCCUGAGGUGUGCUGCCAGGUGCCCCCAUUGUAUUUGGAUACAGGCAGCUGUGAAAUGCAGGGGAGCAGUUAAGAAUAUUAACAGGUCCCCAAUUGAAAUGCUUUAAUGGCAGUGGUACAUGGCCUGCUCCUACCCCACCCAACACACGUCACAACCCCAGUCCCUACCCCCAAAGCCUAUUCUCAAUAUGGCAGCCAGAUUCAGCCUGAUAAGAUCAGUCCAAUGCUACCUACUCCGCCUUCAGGGUGAGAGCCCUCUGAGGCCUGUAUGAGGGGCUUCUCCCCUCCCUCGUAGAUCUGCUGCACCCACUGGCCUCCCUGGAACCCAGGCCACUCCUGCCUCAAGGGCUUUACACCAGCAAUCCCCUGGGUCUGGAGCUUCCUCCCCCUGGAAGUCCCCACAGUUCACCCUCACAUCUUUAAUGUUUUUGCUCAAAUGUCCCUGGGGGAGCCUGCUCCAACCACCCCUAAUGCUGCAACCUCCCACACCUGGCUCUCCUGCUCCCUCUCACGUGUGUCCUUUCUUCCCCCAAAAUAUCCCAUUUAUCAUGUUCUAACAUGCAACAUGAUUUGUUUAUUGUG